rnacentral:tRNA from 3 species
GACUCCGUAGCUCAGCUGGGAGAGCGCCACCUUGACAGGGUGGAGGUCGGUGGUUCGAGCCCACUCGGAGUCA